GAUGAACGCUAGCGGCAGGCCUAACACAUGCAAGUCGAGGGGUAGAAGCUUUCGGGCUUUGAGACCGGCGCACGGGUGCGUAACGCGUAUGCAAUCUGCCUUGUACUGAGGGAUAGCCCAGAGAAAUUUGGAUUAACACCUCAUAGUAUUUUAGUGUGGCAUCACAUUAUUAUUAAAGGUUACGGUACAAGAUGAGCAUGCGUCCCAUUAGCUAGUUGGUAUGGUAACGGCAUACCAAGGCUACGAUGGGUAGGGGUCCUGAGAGGGAGAUCCCCCACACUGGUACUGAGACACGGACCAGACUCCUACGGGAGGCAGCAGUGAGGAAUAUUGGUCAAUGGUCGCAAGACUGAACCAGCCAUGCCGCGUGCAGGAUGAAGCAUCUAUGGUGUGUAAACUGCUUUUGUACGGGAAGAAACACCGCUACGUGUAGCGGCUUGACGGUACCGUAAGAAUAAGGAUCGGCUAACUCCGUGCCAGCCGCCGCAGUAACAC
rnacentral:rRNA from 1 species